rnacentral:rRNA from 1 species
AGCUCCAAUAGCGUAUAUUAAUGUUGUUGCAGUUAAAAAGCUCGUAGUUGGAUUUCUGGUUGGAGCGCCCGGUCCGCCCCUCACGGGGUGUGCACUUGGGCGCCUUUGACCAUCCUUGGGGAGAGCGGCGUGGGCAUUAAGUUGUCCGUGUCGGGAUCCUCAUCGUUUACUGUGAAAAAAUUAGAGUGUUUAAAGCAGGCGUUUGCUGUGAAUACAUUAGCAUGGAAUAAUAAGAUAGGACUUUGGUGCUAUUUUGUUGGUUUGUACACCGAGGUAAUGAUUAAUAGGGACAGUUGGGGGUAUUCGUAUUUAAUUGUCAGAGGUGAAAUUCUUGGAUUUAUGAAAGACGAACUACUGCGAAAGCAUUUACCAAGGAUGUUUUCA